GGAUUAGAUACCCUGGUAGUCCACGCCGUAAACGAUGUCAACUAGCCGUUGGUCCUAUUAAAAGGAUUAGUGGCGCAGCUAACGCGAUAAGUUGACCGCCUGGGGAGUACGGCCGCAAGGCUAAAACUCAAAUGAAUUGACGGGGGCCCGCACAAGCGGUGGAGCAUGUGGUUUAAUUCGAUGCAACGCGAAGAACCUUACCAUCCCUUGACAUCCUCAGAACUUGUAAGAGAUUACUUGGUGCCUUCGGGAACUGAGUGACAGGUGCUGCAUGGCUGUCGUCAGCUCGUGCCG
rnacentral:rRNA from 1 species